rnacentral:rRNA from 1 species
GUCCACGCCGUAAACGAUGAUCACUAGAUUUUGGCCGCAAGGUCAGAGUCCAAGCGAAAGUGUUUAGUGAUCCACCUGGGGAGUACGACCGCAAGGUUGAAACUCAAAGGAAUUGACGGGGGCCCGCACAAGCGGUGGAGCAUGUGGUUUAAUUCGAUGAUACGCGAGGAACCUUACCUGGGCUUGAAAGUUAGUGACCGAUCCUGAAAGGGAUCUUUCCGCAAGGACACGAAACUAGGUGCUGCAUGGCUGUCGU